rnacentral:rRNA from 1 species
AGUGAACGCUGGCGGUAGGCCUAACACAUGCAAGUCGAACGGCAGCACAGGAGAGCUUGCUCUCUGGGUGGCGAGUGGCGGACGGGUGAGGAAUACAUCGGAAUCUACUCUGUCGUGGGGGAUAACGUAGGGAAACUUACGCUAAUACCGCAUACGACCUACGGGUGAAAGCAGGGGAUCUUCGGACCUUGCGCGAUUGAAUGAGCCGAUGUCGGAUUAGCUAGUUGGCGGGGAAAAGGCCCACCAAGGCGACGAUCCGUAGCUGGUCUGAGAGGAUGAUCAGCCACACUGGAACUGGGACACGGUCCAGACUCCUACGGGAGGCAGCAGUGGGGAAUAUUGGACAAUGGGCGCAAGCCUGAUCCAGCCAUACCGCGUGGGUGAAGAAGGCCUUCGGGUUGUUAAGCCCUUUUGUUGGGAAAGAAAUCCAGCUGGCUAAUACCCGGUUGGGAUGACGGUACCCAAAGAAUAAGCACCGGCUAACUUCGUGCCAGCAGCCGCCGUAA